GACGAACGCUGGCGGCGUGCUUAACACAUGCAAGUCGAACGCUGAAGCUUGGUGCUUGCACUGGGUGGAUGAGUGGCGAACGGGUGAGUAAUACGUGAGUAACCUGCCCUUGACUCUGGGAUAAGCCUGGGAAACUGGGUCUAAUACUGGAUACGACAUGUCACCGCAUGGUGGUGUGUGGAAAGGGUUUUACUGGUUUUGGAUGGGCUCACGGCCUAUCAGCUUGUUGGUGGGGUAAUGGCUCACCAAGGCGACGACGGGUAGCCGGCCUGAGAGGGUGACCGGCCACACUGGGACUGAGACACGGCCCAGACUCCUACGGGAGGCAGCAGUGGGGAAUAUUGCACAAUGGGCGGAAGCCUGAUGCAGCGACGCCGCGUGAGGGAUGACGGCCUUCGGGUUGUAAACCUCUUUCAGCACGGAAGAAGCGAAAGUGACGGUACGUGCAGAAGAAACGCCGGCUAACUACGU
rnacentral:rRNA from 1 species